rnacentral:lncRNA from 1 species
GGGGGCUGAAAUGAACUCUGUGAGGAUUCUUAGCUUUGGUGGUUUAAUGCUCUAUUUUUGUGCUUGUUGGCCUCCUGCCAGGUGGCGGCGCUUUCCGGAGAGCAUCAGCUGUGGUAACAUGGAGAGAAACCAGAGAGUGGGUGGGGCUUUAGAACUUCCAAGACAGAGGCUCUGGAAGCCUCUGUCUUCAGCUACCAGAGUGGGUAGGGAAGGACCAUCAAGUGGGGGCAGGGCUAGGUGUGUCUGAGCUCAGACUCUCCUUGGGUGAGUCUUGCUGUGGCUGCUGUGGGGGAGGGGGGGGUGAGGUUCCCAGGUGAAUAGAGUUGUGUACCUAGGAGGAUAAUGGCUGCCUCUGCUGAGUCAUGCAGGUUGUUAGGGAAGUGAGGGAAAGCUGGCAGUCACAGGCCUCACCCAGCUCCCAUGCAAUCCAAAUGGCCAGUCUCACUCUCACCAUGCCCCCUCUAAAGCAUUGAGUCUGUUUCCAAGCAGUGGGUAAGCAGGGGUGAGAACUUGCCGCAGGCUACCCACCUCCCAGCUGUGAAAGAAAAGGGCUUUCGUUCUUCCCCCACCUGUGGAGUCUACACGCUGGAUUUGUGCCCUCCCUUGAGUUCUGGCCAGGAGGCUUCUCCACCUGUUCAAAUUGUUAUAAAGUUCAGCUGGAGACUUCCUUCUCUCCGUGGCAUUUUCCUCAUGCCUCUGGCCACCCUCCCAAAGGAUCCCUGUGAGGCCAGGCAGGAAUGGCCUGCUUGGGGACCCAGCAAGCUUCUAGGGCCUUUGCUGCUGCUUCCUCUACCCCUGUAUUUCGCUCGGCUCUCUAAAUGGACUCAGCUCCAGAUGAGGAAACGGAGAUUCACAAAAAUCAGGUCAUUUGUCUGAGGUCCGAGUACUGUGUGAUAGAGCAAAGAUUUGAACCCAGCUCUCUACUUACAGGUAAAUUGUCUUGUGAUUAUUUCCACAGAACUCUGACUUGGAUAAGACUUGUAUCCAUUUUAUUACGAUGUUCUUCUUUUUUACAAUUUAGUUCCCCAGAGGGCAAGACCAAGCUACCUAAGAUCGGAACCCUCUGAUAAUUUGUGCUGCUAUUUUAAGAUCCAGUUCCAUUCUACAACUGGCUGAAGCAUGAAGUCAACUAAAAUAAACUGAAUUGAGUGGAACUGAACUGAACUGAAGUGAAAUAAUGUGAUUUCCAGUAAACCUGACACCUUAAGGACAGAACAUGAGCCUUGCCCAUCUUCCUCCCAGAGGUCCCAGCACAAUCACCGACUCACACAAUACUCUCAGUGCAUGAGUGAUGAAUUUCACUAACAGCGACCCAUCUCUCUACAUAAUCCACUCCGGUUUCACCAGAGCUGAGAGUAUCAUGAAUUACAUCUAUAGAUAGCUGUAAGCUAAUGACCAAAGCACAUAACUGAAUUCAAACAUAUUCUUUAUUGCAGUCAGAUGUGAGAAAACAAAAUUUAGAAGACAAGCCAGAAAGGAAAUGAAGAACAUAAAGAGCCUGAAUUCUCAUCGUCAAUUUUUCCCUGACUGACUCCGUUUUCCUCUCUUCUUUCCAUUUACCUUUCUGUUCCCAUCCCCAUCAUUUUUGUAGUGUUUAUUGAGUGUCUGCUGCAUGCCAGUCAAUGUGCUGAGUACUUUUCAUGUGUUAUACCAUUUGAUCGUCACAGCAGCACACUAUUAUAAUUAUGAAUAUGAUUCCACAUACUAUAUCUAAAAUUUAACUUAAUUUUACAUAGGAGGAAGCUGAGACUUGCCCAAGACUACUCCAUUAGUAAGAUGUGAACCAAGUGAACCAUGUCUGACUCAAACCUAACCCCUGAUUCUCUGAAUCCAUAUCACCGUAGAACUCAACAGUGAAAUAUUGGGGUAGAGGUAAUGCUAUUAGUACACAAACUAUGCACAGAUUUACAAGCAACUAAACAGGAACUCAUGGCCAGGCACAAUGGUUCAUGCCUGUAAUUCCAGCACUUUGGGAGGCCAAGGUGGGCAGAUCACCUGAAAUCAGGAGUUCAAGAUCAGUGUGGCCAACAUGACAAAACCCCAUCUCUACUAAAAAUACAAAAAUUAGCUGGGUGUGGUGGCACAUGCCUGUAAUCCCAGCUACUCAGCAGGCUAAGGCAGGAGAAUUGCUUGAACCUGGGAAGGAGAGGUUGCAGUGAGCCGAGAUCACAUCACUGCACUCCAGCCUGGGUGACAGAGCAAAACUCUAUCUUAAAUGAAUAAAUAAAUAAAAAUGAAAAAAACAAACAAAUGAAAGAAAGUCACGAGCACAACUUCUGACUCCCCCUCCAUCUUUUCCAUUGUUCCCUGUCUCUCUGCUUAAAAACAAUCCGAGUGACUCUCACUUUUUCCUUGUGUCUCCCACCCAUCUACCCUACUCUUGCUCUACACAGUUAAGGAUUGUUUUGAAAUUCUAUGGGGAAAAAUUAUAAAAUUUAUAAUCCCAAAGAGUCCAUCCAAUUGUCUGUAACAAGAUUUAAAGCUUAGUAUUAUCUCAACCCAAAAUUUGACAAAUGACAGUUUCCUUGUUGCUUGUACACACGUCACUCCAACAGCUGAAAAGCCAGGAUAGAUGUUUGCCAGUAACUUCCUUGCAGAGGCCUUAAUAAACUUAAGCAUGAUAUAUACCAAUAACCUAAUAAAUAUAUUGAGGGUUUCUUCUUAGCCAUAUCCUUGAUAUAAAGUGACAUCUGAGUUUUAUGACGUUUAAGGUUUUUGCCUUUUCUUCUGUCUUGGUGGCUAUUAACUGAGCACAUUUCUAUUUGUGAAUCAUAAGCUAAUGUAUUUACAUUUAGGAACAGAAAAUCAUGUCACUUGAUAAGUAUGCAGGUGUCAUAAGCUCCAGAGCACCAGCAAAAGAUGCAGGUGCUGACCACUUUGUUUCAUGUCAAAAUUCACUGUCUGAAGAUGCUCUGUGACCAUGAGGCUCAUCAAACACUCAACAUUCAAAAGAACUCUUACCACAUUCACACAGCAAAUCAGCAAAUCAUUUUUAAUCAUAAAUCAUCUUUGUUUGAAAACAAUUUACUCACUUGAAUUCUAGGUAACAUUCUAGGUUAUGUGUUCAUUUAGAUGUUCUUCUUUUCCAUGGAAAUCAAUUAAAAACAAAUGCACCAUCUUGGGAGAUGAGCUUAAAAGAUUAAUGUCAGACUUUUUGAAAAAACAAUUACUUGGGCAGAAUUAUGAAUGAACAACGUGUGACGUUUUUGUCAUUUUUUUUUUUUGGUUCUUUUAUUCUGCAUAUUUCAGUUUGGCUUUUAAUUUCAUCAAAAUUAUAGAUGCACAUAAUUCUUUUAAGCAUAGUAGGAAGACCAUGGGCUUCCUAAUGUGCUUAAAACAGGGUCCUCACACCUUGUCCAAUAUAUCCGAGAUUUCUCCCCUUUCUAGAGAAAACUACUUUAAAUUCUGAUAGAUUUUUUGUUGCUGUUGCUCAUAGUUACUUCCAUAACUCUAAAUAGCUCAUGCUGUUACUUUUAAUAUUUCUAUUUUGAGGCUAUCUAAUGGGUUCUCUCUAUGGAAAAUCAAGAUUCACUCUCAUUCACUCUCCCUCAACCUGACUGACCCCCAAGUAUCAUCUUCAUUAGUUUAGUUAGAUUACUAUACAGUAUUUACCUUAUUAUAGUUAGGUCAAUGCUGGGUCACAUAUUAAUCUAUAAUAACUUUUCCUUUUUAUGAGCAAUAUUUUGGUUUUACUUGAAGUUAAUCAUCACACUUGUGUUUGCUUAGUUGUGCAAAUGUCUGUCACUAACUUUGCAAACUUUUCCUCCAGUGUCUAAGCUUCACACAUGAGCUAAUUUUAUUGAUUGCAUCUUUAUUUCAUCUCUGGUGACAUCUGACCUGUUCUAGUCUGGACAGGUUUCUUCCCAGUCCCCAGCUGGCUCUUUCUUAACCACCAACUUGGGUUUGGAUUUCCUAUAACUGGAUCCUGUGUCUUUAUUGCUAGUUUAGUUCAUAGUUUUGGUGGAGCAUAUUCUCAAGACCAUCCAUGUGUGGAGAACUAAUUUGACAAAGACUUGAUGUGAACAUGUCUCUAUUUUCUAAUGUAAAUCAUUUUCCCUUGGGAUAUCAAAAGUUUACUGCAUUGACUUCUUCCCUCUAGUAUUGUUUUUGAGGCAUCUAAAGCCAAUCUGAUUCCUGAUCCUUCAGAAGAACCUCCUGCUGCUUUGGGGAGAAGGAGGUUCCUCUACCUGGUAGCUUUUGGGUACUCCUCUUUGCCCCCAUGGCUGAAAUUCACAAUGAAGUGCUUGGUGUGGUUUUAUUUUUAUAGGUUAUGCUGUACACUCAAUAGGUCCUUAUAUAGGAAAAAAACAAAAAAUAAAUAACAAAAAAAACAACAACACUGUUUUCUUCUUGAUACGUCACUUUCAAUGCAUCUGACAAGAGACAGGGGAGGAGUGUUACCACACCAAGCAAUUCUCCACUUCUUGGCAGACACCAACUGGGUGCCCCCCAGUUCAAUUCAACUCUGACACUAACAGAAUCAAUGUAGGCCCCAAAGUUUAAAGGUUCAGUCCCACAAGACUGCCCCACACUUUGCAGGCCAGUUGCAAACAGUAGGUUCCCAGAUUACCCACAACUUCUGUCCUACUUGGCUACAAACCAGAGUUUCCCACACCCAACUCUGUGGGUUUGACAAUUUGCUAGAGUGGCUUAUAGAACUCAGAAAAGCACUUUGCUGUUAUCAGUUUAUUAUAAAAAGAUACAGCUCAGUAACAGCCAGAUGAAGAGAUGCCUAAGUUAAGAUAUGAGGGAAGGGGCACGCAGGCUCCAUGCCCUCCAUGGGUGAGCCACCCUUCCAGGACCCCCACACGUUGAGAAAUCUGGAAGCUCCCCAAACACAGUCUUCUUGGGGUUUUAUGGAGGCUCCAUUUAGCAGGCAGGAUUGAUUAAAUCAUUGGCUGUUUGUGAUGUUCAUCUCCAGCCCUCUCUCCACUGGUGGAAGGUUGAAGGGUGUGGCUGGAUGUUCCAACCCUCUAAUCAUUUGCUUAGUUCCUCUGACAAGCAGCCUCGUCCAGUGCCUGUCCAGGAGUCUCCAGCCACCAGUCAUCUCAUUAGCAUACUAAAAGAUGCUUAUCAUGUCAGAGGUUCCAAGGGUUUUAGGAGCUACAUGCCAUAAAAUCAAAUAUUUAGUGGAAGACUAAUAUGGUUUGGCUAUGUCCCCACCAAAAUUUCAUCUUGAAUUGUAGCUCCCAUAAUUCCCACGUGUCAUGGGAGAGACCAGGUGGGAGGUAAUUUAAUCAUGGGGGCAGGUCUUUCCCAUGCUGUUCUCAUGAUAGCGAAUAAGUCCCAUGAGAUCUGAUGGUUUUAUAAAUGGGAGCUCUUCUGCACAAACUCUCGUCUGCCACCAUGUAAGAUGUCACUUUGCUCUUCCUUCAUCUUCUACCAUGAUUGUGAGGCCUCCCCAGCCAUGUGGAAUUGUGAAUCCAUUAAUCUUCUUUCCUUUAUAAAUUACCCAAUCUCAAGUAUGUCUGUAUUAGCAGCAUGAGAACAGACUAAUACAAAGACCAAAAUAUAUAUUUCUUAUUAUAUCACAGUAGCACAGCCCUCUUAAUGUACAAACUCAUUUUCUACAAUUCUGGCUAAUUUCUUGAAUUUUUUUUCUCUAAUAAUUUCUUUUCUCUCUUCUUUUUCCUGUUAUUCAGAUGGAUGUACCUGCUUCUUGAGCUGAAUUCUCACCAAUCCCUCAUUUCUGGUCAUUCUUAACCUUACUCCCAGAUGUGUUUGGUCUACUGCAGCCUUCGGAUCCCUACUAGAGUUUGCCUUAGGAAUCAGCUUUCUCAGACCUGUGUCUGAGAUAAAAUGUCUGGGAUAAAAUGUCAUUUAUCCUGCUUCCUGGAUUCUGAAAUUUGAUGAUUCUGUUCUCCUCUUUCAUCUCUUCUUUCUUAAACCCUUUUUUUUAAAAAAAAAUCCUGUAACUGUCAUUUACUGGAACUUCAGAGAGAAGCAGAGGUUAAUACCUAUGUUCAAUGGAUACAGGAGAUAAAAAGAAAUUAUUUAGGCAGUUAAUGAGGGUAAGAGAGUUCUUGGCAAGGCUUCCCUUUUAACACAAGCAACCCGCCAAAUCAUUUCUUUUCUAACAAAGAGCAGCCGGUAAAAUCAAGCCACAGACACAGAUAAGCAAGCUAGAAGCUUUCACAGGUAAAUGUGGCAACUGUGCCAAUAGAAACACACUACCUAAGGGCCAGGUAUGUUCAACAUGGAGGUUCCCUCUUCCCUUUUGUGGCUACAUAAGUGGUAAAAAAGCAUGGAGCCAGCCAGGUAGAGGCCUCAUCUGCAUAAUAAAAGAUUAGGGUGAGAUGUCCAGCUUCUUCACGCCCUAUGCAAACAGCACACCUGGUCUGACUAAUCUCUUGAUCCCUAUGUAAAUGAGACACCGCCUCCUCAAGCUCCUCUAUGAAAUCCCUUGCAUUUCAGUAGGAAACCAGAAGACCCACUUGGGAGCCCCAUGCUCUCUCUGCAGGAAAGAGAGCUUUUCUUGUCUCUUUUCUCUCGCCUAUUAAACCUCAGCUCUUCAACUCACUUCUUGUGUGUCUGUGUCCUUGAUUUCCUUAGUGUGAGACAACGAACCUCAGAUAUUUACCACAGACAACGUAGCCACUUCACAAUCUUGCAAAUUUUCACCAAGUCCUUUUCAUUAUUAUGUAAGGAGUUGGAACUGACUGAUGAGGGUUUGAUUGUGAUUGCCUCUAGCUCUCCCUGAUAGCAUUUGGAUGAGCUGGACAGAUGUAGGAUUAACAAAGGUCUGUAGGGUGGAGCAAAUAUGUCUCAUUACCAAGGGUAAAAUUUCAAGUGAAGAGGCUCCCAUACUAGAGCAACCACAACAAAACAAAUAACCAUGGAUUUGGGACUGAACACUAGGAAAGAGUGAAUAUAUGUUUUUGAGGUCAGCUGUGCUGAAGGCAAGAGAAGAACAUUGCCAAGUAACUUCCAAAUGUGACAUUUUUCAACCUUGGUUUAUGACUGAAAAGCCAAGAAAGACUAAGCUAAAAUGGAAUUCAGCUUCCCAGCCUAAAUAGUGGGAGAGGUCCAAAAUACAGCUAAGGAAAAUUUUACUGGGAAAGCUAGUUGUAUCCAUUUACUCUGUUCUACACAUAUCAAUUAGAAAUUUUAAAAAGGUAAGUUUGAUCAAGCUUUUAUUCCGACAUUUGAAAA